GGUUCUUUUUUAUUUUCUCCCUCCCAGCUGCGCUGUGGGAUUGCUCCGUGCUCUUGGUGAAUGCCUCGUCACACACUGGCUCCCAUACCCCAACACCACCCCCCAAAAGAAGGGCACGUCCUGAUUCAGUCAGGAAAUGAAAAAUGAAACCCUCUGAAAAUGGCCUAUGGAAUGUCACAAAUACCCAAGUCAGGAAAUGCAGAUCGAGGGCGGCAUAUUGAAACUAUGAUGACUGACUUCCUCUGGGGCCAUGUUCCUAAGCCCCGAGGAGAGGAGGGGACUGACUUGAUUCCAGAGUCGGGUCAGGAAAACGGCCCCGCGCAGGGAACACAGUAAGCUCUCCACAGGGCCUUCGAGGCCAGGACCAUUUGGACAGGACACCAGUGGAGGGUCACCCAGACACUGGGUUGUUAAAGACACCGAGGAAAGCAGAGAGAGAGGCAGAGGAUCCUGUUUUCAAGGCGCAUUGUUUCUUUCAGUGAGGACUUCUGUAACUGAUACAGGUGACAAUGGAUCAUCUGGGGACGAUUUCAAAGAUGAGAGCAGCUAGGUACACAGGCAGAGUCACCUGCGCUUUGGUUUCUGUUAGUCACCAAGUAACCCUGAUGCCGCAGAUAAAGAAUACGAUAAUCGUCAAGAUUUCAGCGCCUGCCGCCAAAGGGACAACUCUACUAUUUACCAUGAGCUGUGUGACCUUCAGCAAGUGAUUCAGCCUUCCUAGGCCCUCUACAUCUGUGAAAUGGGGAUGAGAACGGUUGCCUUGCAGGAUAAUUAUGAAGAUUAAAUAAGAUUAAAGAACAGAUGUACAACAUUCAGCAAAUUAUUUGGUACAUAUUAAGCCAAUAAGUGGUAGGCUUAGCAUUGAUGUUUUCUUUCCUGGAGAUGAAGUAGGAAGUAGAAAGACUGAGUUAAGAAUCAGUUUCUUUUACACUCUUUUCUUUUCUAAUCUACAGGUUAUUUAAUUACUAACUAUUUUCAUUUUGACGAAGCCCGUUGCAGUACAGUUUCACUAGAGUGCUUUUCAAAUAGCAGAAACUUAAAUUAUCUAUUAUUUUCAUAGCAAUUUGGCGUAAUUUUUUUUUUUUUUCUGAGACUGGUAGAACAGGUUAAACUUAGGGAAAAUUGUGCUAUGAAGUAUCAUGAAGAAUUUAAUUAGUUUCUGGAUUCAACCCAUCCCAGCAAGUCCUAGAAAGGAAACACCGAUGGAACCACAUGCUGUCCAAAAGUUAGUCAGCAAACGUUUAUGAAGCACCAUGAGGCAGGCACUGUGCUGCACACGGGUGGCUACUCGGGUGUGUGCUCUAUUUUUAUAAUAAAAAUUCUCAUCAAUAAAUAGUCUUUAAAUAAUCAAAAAGAUCACGACGGGCACUAGGAUCUGAAAUGAUGUAGAGACUUACUUUAAAUGUGUAUAAUUGGCCCUGUACAUAAAAGGAAGACUGUCUAGACUAUAUAAAGACUGUCUCAGAUCCCAUUAAAAAUCAUACCUGACAAUGAGCAAUUCACAGAAAAAAGAACUUAAAUUGCCAAUAAACGCAUGAAAGGUACAAUGGAAUAUUAUGUAGUUAAAAAGAACACGUUAACAUAGAAUUA